CAGCAGCCGCGGUAUACGUAGGGUGCGAGCGUUACUCGGAAUUACUGGGCGUAAAGCGUGCGUAGGUGGUUGUUUAAGUCUGAUGUGAAAGCCCUGGGCCCAACCUGGGAAUGGCGGUGGAUACUGGAUAGCUAGAGUGUGUCAGAGGAUGGUGGAAUUUCCGGUGUAGCGGUGAAAUGCGUAGAGAUCGGAAGGAACAUCAGUGGCGAAGGCGGCCAUCUGGGACAACACUGACGCUGAAGCACGAAAGCGUGGGGAGCAAACAGGAUUAGAUACCCUGGUAGUCCACGCCCUAAACGAUGCGAACUGGAUGUUGGUCUCAACUCGGAGAUCAGUGUCGAAGCUAACGCGUUAAGUUCGCCGCCUGGGGAGUACGGUCGCAAGACUGAAACUCAAAGGAAUUGACGGGGGCCCGCACAAGCGGUGGAGUAUGUGGUUUAAUUCGAUGUAACGCGAAGAACCUUACCUGGCCUUGACAUGUCCGGAAUCCUGCAGAGAUGCGGGAGUGCCUUCGGGAAUCGGAACACAGGUGCUGCAUGGCUGUCGUCAGCUCGUGUCGUGAGAUGUUGGGUUAAGUCCCGCAACGAGCGCAACCCUUGUCCUUAGUUGCCAGCACGUAAUGGUGGGAACUCUAAGGAGACUGCCGGUGACAAACCGGAGGAAGGUGGGGAUGACGUCAAGUCCUCAUGGCCCUUACGGCCAGGGCUACACACGUACUACAAUGGUCGGUACAGAGGGUUGCAAUACCGCGAGGUGGAGCCAAUCCCAGAAAGCCGAUCCCAGUCCGGAUCGAAGUCUGCAACUCGACUUCGUGAAGUCGGAAUCGCUAGUAAUCGCGGAUCAGCUAUGCCGCGGUGAUACGUUCCCGGGCCUUGUACACACCGCCCGU
rnacentral:rRNA from 1 species